ACUCCUACGGGAGGCAGCAGUGGGAAUAUUGCACAAUGGGGAAAGCCCAUCGAUGCAGCCAUGCCGCGUGUGUGAAGAAGGCCUUCGGGUUGGUAAAGACACUUUCAGUAGGGAGGAAGGUAGUGUAGUUAACACCUGCACUAUUUGACGUUACCUACAGAAGAAGCACCGGCUAACUCCGUGCCAGCAGCCGCGGUAAUACGGAGGGUGCGAGCGUUAAUCGGAAUUACUGGGCGUAAAGCGCAUGCAGGCGGCCUGUUAAGUCAGAUGUGAAAGCCCGGGGCUUAACCUCGGAAUUGCAUUUGAAACUGGCAGGCUAGAGUCUUGUAGAGGGGGUGAGAAUUGAUCAGGUGUAGCGGUGAAAUGC
rnacentral:rRNA from 1 species